AGUGGAACUACUGGAUUAUAUGGUAACUCUUUUUCAUUAUUUGAGGAACUACCAUACUAUUUUCCAUAGUGACUGUACCAUUUUACAUUUCCAUCAAUAGU
rnacentral:pre_miRNA from 1 species